rnacentral:tRNA from 1 species
UUCCGGCAUAGCUCAGUUGGUAGUAGCGCAUGACUGUUAAUCAUGAUGUCGUAGGUUCGAGUCCUACUGCCAGAGU